GCAGGUUCAGGAGGGGACACAGGUGUUGGCUCCUGGGACCCGAGUCCUCAGCUGCUCAGGAAGCAGCCGCGCUUGUGCCACUUCUGGUCUCGGAUGCGGCGCACUGACUGCAGCUGCGGCUGGUUGGCGUCCCAUUCAUUCCAGUGGCGAAAUUCGCCCCGCUCAAACACGUACUGGCGCCCGCGAUAGCCCGGGAACUCGUAGCCCACCCACCUGCCGAGAAUAACAGAGUAAGAUGAAUUCUCAGUCACGCAGUUAGGUUCUUCCUGGGACUGGCUACAGUGCCCACCAUCUGCCAUCAUUCAGAAGUCCUGCAGCUUGUGGACUGGUAAGGCAGCUGUCAGAAUGUUGCAGACGGGAUGCGCACCUUGCGAGUCCUUCCCCAUUGCGAUGCACAUAUCUCAGCAGGACGUGGGUAUUGAGAAAGAGUAGGUCCAGUAUGUGAGUGGCCAGGGCACGGACAACUCCAACCAAGGUCUGUAAUGCUUGAGACUGGGCGAAAAGGCCACCCACCCCACGGAGAUCAGAGCAACCCAGAGGUGGACGAGGGCGAACGUUACAAGCUUUCAUAGGCUUGGACAGCGAUCAGGCAGCCUGAGGACUCCAUAGCCACAGGGGCAUCGCUGACCCAUGAAGAGAGCAGAGCUCACACCAAUCUGAGCAUGAGACUCCUACAUAAACUCAGCCCUACCUACCCAUCUGUGCCACCCCCAACACACACCUUCAGCCAAGCCCACUGUGAUGAGCUCCCCCCACUGGAUGUGCCUCUACUGAGCAUGUGUAGAUGUGUCAACAUCGCCCAGCUAACAGCAGAAUUGACAAGAAAGCAGGUAUGCUGUCCUGGAGGUCAGAAGCCAUCCAGGUGACUUAAAGGGCUGCCAGGAGGGCUCAGUGGGCUUGCUGUGCAAGCCUAGAGACCUGAGUUCAAUCCCUGGGAGCCACUCGCCAGUGGGAGGAGAGAAUUCACUACAGAAUUGCCCUCUGUUUCUGCAUUGUGGACAUGUGCCCUUACACACCACAUACUUAUACAACGAAUAAAUGCAGUUUAGAGAAGA